ACCUCUAGCAUUACCAGUAUUAGAGGCACCGCCUGCCCAGUGACAAUCGUUCAACGGCCGCGGUAUCCUGACCGUGCAAAGGUAGCAUAAUCAUUUGUUCCUUAAAUAGGGACUAGUAUGAACGGCUUAACGAGGGUUAAACUGUCUCUUGCUUCCAAUCAGUGAACUUGACCUUCCCGUGAAGAGGCAGGAAUGUUACAAUAAGACGAGAAGACCCUAUGGAGCUUAAAUCUACUAAACCUAAGCAUCAAUUACUCACCCCUACGGGAAACUAAGAGCUUGCCUGAUAGGUUUAAAAUUUUGGUUGGGGUGACCUCGGAGAAUAAAACAACCUCCGAAUGAUUAUAACUUAGACAUAAACCAGUCAAAGUCCCACUCAUUAAUUGACCCAAACAUAUUGAUCAACGGAACAAGUUACCCUAGGGAUAACAGCGCAAUCCUACUCAAGAGUCCAUAUCGACAGUAGGGUUUACGACCUCGAUGUUGGAUCAGGACAUCCUAGCGGUGUAACCGCUGCUAACGGUUCGUUUGUUCAACGAUA
rnacentral:rRNA from 1 species